AACGCAGAUUCGGAAUAAGAACUAUCUUGAUCUCUUUUUCGAUUUCUUAUUUUAUUACUGUUCUCGUUUCGUGUUCUGAUUGCUUGGCGUGUGGUAUUAGCAGAUAUCUGGGACCUCUGGGAAAUUAGGGUUCUCCUACUUUCCUAAUUUAAACGGAAAUCGACAGUGCGAAUUUCGGUUCCCACACUUCUCUUCUUGCUCGACCUCGAAUUCCUCUUUGGGAACAAUAUCCUCAUUGGUACAUGGAUUGCCAGAAGAUGAUUGAGGGGAAGUCUUUUUCUUAGAGGAUCUCUUUCUUGAAGUCAUUUUUUGAAAGACAAAAACUUUGACACAAAGGUAAAGAGAGAGAGGAUAAGUGAAAUUUCUUGUGAAGAGAAGUUAAUAAAGACUUUGAAAAAACUUACUCCACCUAUAUAUAGGAAAAAAGGUUACUAUUCAUUCUCGGACUUUCAGCAAACGAUUACGUCUAAUUCCAUCAAAACAAGUCAUACCGCAAGCUAGGACCUCACACUCAGGUCCACGGAUCCUAGCUAGCUGGGGGGCCAACUGUUGGGGUCAAAACCGGUCACGGCAGAAUCAACUGUUGGUUCCCGGAAAACCAACUCACGAUCGAUCAUUGAAAAUUAGACAUUCCCGGAAAACGGUUAAAUCAAGUAAAAAACAGUUUUUCGCGGAUGCGAACCGAGGAACGUUGAGAAGAGGAUCAGUCUGGGUGAGGUCUCAAUCGUAAGCAAGGACCGACCACCUCGCCCUAGGGCGAUGACCGUCUCAACACGGGUCACCUUGCCCAUGGGCGAGGAUGACCAGCACCGAGAUCACCUCGCCCAUGGGCGAGGACGACUAGCACCGAGGUCACCUCGCCCAUGGGCGAGGACCGACCUCCUGUCCAGAACCGUGCAUCCUCGUCUAAGUUCUAGUAACACAAUCCUCGGGCCCUUGGACGCAAUACCCAUGUCUAAUCUCGCUUAGGAUUAUCAAAGAAAGACUUCGGGAAAAGUUAUAAAAAUCUUGGUCGUCGAAACGGAUUCCUGCCUGCCGUAUAAAACGGCUAUGGUUAGCUUGAACACAAGUUGCCUUAACUAUACGGGAAAUUGGAAUCCUUUCGGAAAAACCAACGGCUGUUUCUUAGGAUAAAUCGUAAAAACAUCUAAGUCCCAACACGGCCCAAAAGAGGCCUGAACCGCGGCUAAACGGCUCACUUACGAUUUUAGAACAGGAUUGAGCCUAAGGCUGAUAUGACGGUCUAUUUUUUAUUCGCAGGUAAAGAUGAAUGUCAAGUUUCCGAAGAUAGUCAUGAAGGGUGACGAAAAAUGAAAAAUCCCAUCUCGCAACGAAUCCGGCCCAGGAAAAGGUGCAAACUGACCUAGAGAGUAUAUAAGGAGGGCUUAAGGUGAGGAGCAAGAGAGAGCUUUUCUCAGAGAAAACUUAAUACUUAGAGCAAUUUAGGCAUUUUUCCGUUUUUACUAUCGAGCUGCAACUCGACUAGGUUAGAACUUAGGUGGCUAGACUAGCGAACGUACCGACAGCUCUCGUGGCCUAGGAUAUUACAUGUUGUUCACGCUCAAACGCGAAUUCGGAAAUAAGACCUCUUUGUUCUUUUUUCGCUCUUUUACGAUUUAUUACUUUCGACUCUUUCAUAUUGAUUGUGUUGUGCGUGGCCCAGCAGAUAACCGGGACCUUCAGGGAAGGCUAGGCAAGAUUUGAAGUUGAUGAGGAGUAUCAAAGGAUUGCAGUGCUUAAGCAGAUGGGAGGAUUAUGUAGAUCAUCCAAGUCACGCCUAGUUACCCAGAUUAAUGAUGCUGACAAUAACCAACAAAGGAUGAAUCUCAGACCGAAGAACGUUCCCCCGUUGAGUGGCACAAAUUCGUUAAGCUGAAAACUAGCAAUGAAUUCAAGGCUCUGAGUGAUAGCUACAAGGCGAGAAGACGCAACCAGAUACCUCACACAUGUAGUCGCAAGGGUAUGGUGAGACUAGCAGAAGAGAUGAAAAAAGGUUCUGCCGACCCAUCUGAAGUGUCGAGGCUUAAAAUCUGAUUGAAGUCACGUACCAGAAAAGAUGGGACUCCGAUUAACACGAAUGCCGCUGAGAAGAUUCGAAAGGCAGCUGAGAUUGUUAAAGGUACUAAUCAAUCAUCUGGCACAAAUCAAGAUGAAGAUGCACUCAUCCAACUGUUAGGACCUGAUAAUCCUGGUCGUAUGAGAGCAAUGGGCAGAAAUAUGAGUAAGACCAGAUUAGCUUGCUUCCAAGUGAAGCACAAGUCUAUUUCUGAAAUGCAAGAGAAUCAGAUUCAUCUCCAGGAAAAGGUUAAUGAGUUACAAGCUGAACUUGCGAAAGUUAAAAAAACAGAGAGAAGACAAUGAAGUGGGUGAAAACUCGCCUGCAAGAAACGUUGACACAAAAUCACAAAAGAGGUGUCUUCUUAUUGAUUGGGCUGAUGAAGAUGGGAAUGUUGCUGAGGGUCGUAUGCUUUCUUCAGACCCAAAUGAUAUAGUGAAUGAAAGUAGAUUAGGCCCUAUGAAUGCCAAAGUCUUUGUUGAUGCUGCUACUGAACCUGAAGCUUUCCUGUGGAGAUCUUCGAGCAACAUGUGCACAAUUAAGGAAGUUGUAGGACACAUUAUUGCAUGGCCUAAGAAUAAUUGUGUUGAACUAGGCCAGGGGCUCCAACCAGAAGACAUUUCUGGGAACCGAAAUUCACACUGUCGAUUUUAAUGAAUAAGUAUGGAGGAAAACCAAGAAAACCCAAUUUUCCCUGAAGGUCUGAAUUCUCUGCGUAAUCACUUUCAGAACGUAAAAAGAUAGAUAGCAAGAUAAAGAUAAAUAGUCGCUCGGAGGCGUUUUAUUAAUGAAAUAGUAUGAAUACAGGACUUUUUCGAGAGGAGUAGAGAUAUGCUAACUAGACAAAAGCAGAACAGAAAGGCGGCAAAACGUCAUAAGCCUUGCCUUGCUAGUCUAACCAACUAAGUUCUAAGUUCCCUAAGCUAGCAGGAGUUCUCUAAGUCUAAAUUAUCGGAUCCCUUUUCUUCCGCACCAGCUCUCUCUAUAUAGUUGGUUUAGGUCGGUGGCCCAUUUACUCCUUUGCUUUUGAGCCCAAGUUUAUCUCUUUUGGGAAUAUUCCAUUUUUCGUCGAUCUUUGUAGUUAUCCUCGAAUCUUCAUAUUUAUCUUCGGAAACUUAACGUUUAUCCUACUUCCGCGAGUUAGGAUAAACCGUCAUAACUCCCAUUGGGCUCGGGUCCCUUCAAAAUCGUAGAUUGGCCUCUAGACACGUUUAGAUCCUCUCGGGCCGUUUUUAGGCCUUCGGGCUUUUCUACGAUUUUAGUCGUAAAACUUCUAGAGUAACUCCGACCGAGACGAAACGAGAGGUAUAUGAUCCAAAAGUCGGAUAUCAGAACUAUACGGAGGACACGAGAGUCGAAACGAGUCGGACUGGCUGGGAUUGGAUUGUCCUCGCCCUAAGGCGAGGUGAAGCGGGCGCGGAUCGUCCUCGCCCAUGGGCGAGGUGACUGUGGUGCUGGUCGUCCUCACCCAUGGGCGAGGUGACCUUGGUGAUGGUUGUCCUCGCCCAGGGGCGAGGUGACCUUGGUGAUGGUCAUCCUCGCCCAUGGGCGAGGUGACCGUGGUGCUGGUCGUCCUCGCCCAUGGGCGAGGUGACCAUGGUGCUGGUCGUCCUCGCCCAUGGGCGAGGUGACCGUGGUGCUGGGCUUCCUCGCCCAUGGGCAAGAUGGCCUUGGUGAUGGUCGUCCUCGCCCAUGGGCGAGGUGGACAAGUGAGAACGGUCCGGUUAUCGGGUCUUGACCUGUCUCUUUUCGUACCGAUCUUUCGGGAGACUCGUCCAUAAGUAUUUGUAUUCUUCCGAUGAUUCUUUCGAGAAGUCUUUCGUGAAGAAUUUGCUAAAACGAUAAUCUUAGCCGUUGAUUUCGAGAUAACCGUUUUCGGCCCCAACAGUUAGCCCCCCAGCCUACAAGACUCGGAGACGAUUUUGCGAGCGAGUGAAGUGUUUUUAAUCGGAAUUUUCUAUUAAGAGUAUGUUUUUCCGUAGAUUGUCUUUUGAGAUUAUUUUAUUGCGGAAAUCCACGUUUCCCACAUAUCCUUAUAAGUAGCAACUCAUCAUUUCCCAUUCUUCACACAGCUUAUUCCUUCAAACUUUUCUCUCUUCAUUCUCUCAAGCAAGAAUGUCUUCCUCCCAAAACGAAAAGAAGAACUUCGACGUCGAGAUGGGUGAGGCCAGCCCGGUUCUACCGAUUCCGGCCAUUCAUGAAGCCACUCCGACUUUCGUUGCCGAAUUCCUUUCUUUCAAAGAGAGGUUAUCCAGGCGUAGUGCCGAAAUGGAAACUAGUCGGACCUCUGCUGAAACGUCGGCUAUCCCUUCCUCGUUUACGCUGUCGAUCUCAGCCGAAGGAAAGAAGUCUCUGAGCGAUGCUGUGCCCCUCGUAGGAAUUGAUACGGCACCUGUGCAAGUGCCGGAGGUCUUGGCCCAACCUUCGGGCUCUUCCACUACCCCAGUCCCGAUUCCUGAGAAAGGACAAGCAAUGGAGUCGAUGCCUCCGCCUUUGGACAGGAAAGAGAUCGUCCUAGGGCUUCCUGCGCCUAGUGCCGCUCUGCUGCCCAAAGGUCGCAAAAGGAAUGGCGCCGCAACCGAGACUGCCAAGAAGAGAAGAUGUUCCAAAGGUGCGGAAGGAGAGCCUUCGUGGCCUUUACCGCAAUAUCGCGUCAAGGUUUGUUUUCAAAAAAAAAAAAAAAAAAUUCUUGUAGGAUACUUUGUUCUUCAAUUAUUCUGACUCUUAUUUCGUUCGCAGUUCAUAUUGUUGAUCGACGGGAUGAUUAGCGACUGCGGUUCGGAGGUUGGGCAUUUGACAGAGGGCCUAGAAGGGUCGCGGGAGGCGUUGAAACGAAUUGAGGCCACGCUGAAAUCUACUGAGGACGCUCACGCCGCUGAGACUUCGCAGCUGGAGGUUCAGGUCAGCGGUCUCGAGUGGGAUCUCGGAAAGUUGGCGAGUGCAUUGUUUAGGAUGAAGAAAGAGAAAAAAGCCAAGGCUUCCGAAGUCCGUCGUCUUCAGCGCCAAAUCCAGAGUCAAGAAGAACCGAGGACUCGUGAUCCAGCGGGGACCGUUGUUCCGCGGGACGAGUUUCAUGCCCGCCUAACGAGGAUGGCUGUUCUGUUUGAUUCCUUCAUGGCAGUCCGUAAGAAGGAUUUGGCCCUGGCGGGAAUCGAGGGAGGUCUAAGUGAGAUCCAGCUACUCAAAGGCGAAGCGGUUCCGACUCUAGACUCUGAAGAGGCCAGGCUACUGUCUCAUAAAGAGGAACUGAUGGCCUACAAAGGUGACUUCGAUUUGAUCCUCUCUCUCUCCUGAAAUCUGAGAGCACCCUCACGCCGUGUUUGGAAGAGACCGAAGGGCAAGGCCAUGCGGCCGAAGAAGGCGAGGGCGAUGCAGUCGAGAGAGGUGACGGUGAAGUGGCUGAGGGAGGUGAUGGCGAUGCGGUCCCGAGUUCCGAUGAGGUUGAGGAUGAAGGCGGUGCUCCGAGGAGUGCCUAGGGUAAUGAUCCUUUCGGGAAUUUUCUUUGUUUUGUUUUGGCCUAUUCAUGAGGCCGUAAUUUGUAUGUUCUGGGACUGGCCGUCGGUGGCUUCGAAUCCCUGCCCUUGUUAGGGCUUUUUGUAAGAUGCUUGGCUCAAUCUAUAAAACUUUUCGAUUGUUAUAAAUUGGGAGAACUUCUGUUUUUCGUAGUUAGAGGGCGAGGGUGUGAGUUGUCGUCUCAUUCCCCCCCCCCCGAAUGAUCACCGUAUCCAUCGUUUGUUGAGUACGCGAGUGGUUUUCCGCUUUAUGCGAAGGCGCGUGAAAACGUACAGAUUUAAGUGAAGAGACAAGUUUUGGGAUCUCAUAUCAGGGUGUUGAUAUUAUGCCUUUGAGAUGUCAAGAUCCAGCAAGGCUGGGUUUAGGGCAAGACCUAGGUUUACUCUCGGACUGAGGCUAUGCGAUGACAAGUCGGCUUUCGUUUUGCCUGUUUGCGAUUUUAACCUGAUUCGUACCGAUAUAAAGUCCGUGUUGGGGUCAAAAUCGGUCACGACGGAAUCAAUGUCUGAAAGUCCGUAAAAAUCGGUGUUGGGGUCAAAAACGGUUACGACGAAGUUAAUAUCCAAAUCUCCACAAAAUACGAGUAUGUCUUUCCGCAACAAAUCGUGCUCGGUCAAGAGAACGUCGCAACGUAUGUUCCCGAGAUAAAGCUUCGUUCGAAUUCUAUUUAGAUCAAACAUAAGCCAUCGGAAACAUACCCAGACCAGUUACGGAUAGGUCUGAGUAUGACAAUCGGAACACGGACGAACCAAGCUCGGUCAUUAUACAACUACCGAAACGUCGAUACGACAUUAGUCCAUGCAUUCUCGUCUACCCUUCAAUGCUAUCUCCCCAAGACCAUAGCGAACCCAUUUCAUGUUUCCCGCCAUUCUAAGUCAUCGAUCAAACUUUACCGUAAAAACCGCGGAAAGUUCGUUCUUUAUCGAAAGAAGCCGUAAUAAACACUUCGAGU